GAUGAACGCUGGCGGCGUGCCUAAUACAUGCAAGUCGAGCGAACGGACGAGAAGCUUGCUCCCCUGAUGUUAGCGGCGGACGGGCGAGUAAGACGUGGAUAACAUACCUCUAUGACUGGGGUAACUUCGGGAAACCGGAGCUACUACCGGCUAAUAUUUUGAACCGCUUGGUUCAAAAGUGAAAGACGGUCUUGCUGUUUCUUAUAGAUGGAUCCGCGCUGCAUUAGCUAGUUGGUAAGGUAACGGCUUACCAAGGCAACGAUGCGUAGCCGACCUGAGAGGGUGAUCAGCCACACUGGAACUGAGACACGGUCCAGACUCCUACGGGAGGCAGCAGUGCGGAAUCUUCCGCAAAGGGCGAAAGCCUGACGGAGCCACACCGCGUGAGUGAUGAAGGUCUUCGGAUCGUAAAGCUCUGUUAUUAGGAAAGAACAUAUGUGUAAUUAACCGUGGCCAUCUUGACGGUACCUAAACAGAAAGCCACGGCUAACUACGUG
rnacentral:rRNA from 1 species